GCGCGAGGGCUGUCGCUGACUCGAAGGUCGUGCACGCCCGAGCGCUCUCACGCAUCCGUUUCACCCCUUUGUGCACCGCCGCGUGGGUCGUCCUCCCUCCGAGGGUGGGCGGCUUGCGUUUUUACACAAACCCCCACGUAACGUAACAUUAGAAUGUUUUUACCUUUUGCGGUGACACGCAAUCAAUACAACUUUCAACAACGGAUCUCUUGGCUCUCGCAUCGAUGAAGAACGCAGCGAAAUGCGAUACGUAAUGUGAAUUGCAGAAUUCAGUGAAUCAUCGAAUCUUUGAACGCACCUUGCGCCUCUUGGUAUUCCGAGGGGCACACCCGUUUGAGUGUCGUGACAUCCUCAACCUUCUCGAUCUUUGCGAUCGGGGAAGGCUUGGACUUUGGGGGUUUUAUGCUGGCCUCUCCGGAAGCCAGCUCCCCUUAAAUGGAUUAGUGGGGUUCGCUUUGCCGAUCCUCGACGUUGAUAAGAUGUUUCUACGUCUUGGGUUGGGCACUGUCUUUCGGGAACCUGCUUCUAACCGUCUCGCGAGAGACGACGCGUUUGAACCUUGACCUCAAAUCGGGUGAGACUACCCGCUGAACUUAAGCAUAUCA
rnacentral:rRNA from 1 species